GCUGGCGUAGCUCAAUGGGCUAGAGCAGGCGAUUUGUAACCGUCAGGCCGUGGGUUCAAUUCCGACCGCCAGCA
rnacentral:tRNA from 1 species